CCUACGGGCGGCAGCAGUGAGGAAUAUUGGUCAAUGGGCGCGAGCCUGAACCAGCCAAGUAGCGUGAAGGAUGACUGCUCUAUGGGUUGUAAACUUCUUUUAUAAAGGAAUAAAGUGAUGCACGUGUGCCUUUUUGCAUGUACUUUAUGAAUAAGGAUCGGCUAACUCCGUGCCAGCAGCCGCGGUAAUACGGAGGAUGCGAGCGUUAUCCGGAUUUAUUGGGUUUAAAGGGAGCGUAGAUUGGUUGUUAAGUCAGUUGUGAAAGUUUGCGGCUCAACCGUAAAAUUGCAAUUGAUACUGGCAGCCUUGAGUGCAGUUGAGGUAGGCGGAAUUCGUGGUGUAGCGGUGAAAUGCUUAGAUAUCACGAAGAACUCCGAUUGCGAAGGCAGCUUACUAAGCUGCCACUGACAUUGAUGCUCGAAAGUGUGGGUAUCAAACAGGAUUAGAUACCCCUGUAGUC
rnacentral:rRNA from 1 species